AUCGCCUUCCUUGAAAGAAUAGGUUAACCACAAACAUGCUCCCCGCAAAGAAUAUAAUUGCAAAAUAAAAUUUAAAGCAUGUUAACUAUACUGUAUAAUGUUUGGCAUAAAGUAUUAUUUAUCGACGCGACUUACCCGAGGGACAUUUAGGGACGCCGGCAGUCAAAAUGAAAUCGAUAAAAUUGCGACGAGAUUUGAAAGUUCAAGUUUCAUUUUAGAUUAUCAGCGACUUUGGUCAACCAUGUUAGCUCGUGAACUACGGAGCGAAAUGGUAAGUUACAUCCCACUAUAAAGGAUGUCCCGAGAAAAUUGCAAUAGCAAUGUGACAGAUAUAUAGACAGUUAAUUAUUAGCGGACAACGAAAAAUCUAAUCUAGGAGAUGAAUUUUGACACCAAGAUUAUUAAAAUUGGUCCAGUAGAACAUAUCUUAUGGUUGUUUUAAAAUAAAAGCCGGGUUCACCCAAUGGACCAUUGAAAUCAUGCAUCAGUUGUGGUAAGUAUUAAUAGGUUUGAUGAUCCCCUUACUACAGUGAUAUUGGUUGUACUACACCAAUUUUAAUAAUAUCAGUCUCACAAUUCAUCUCUAAGAUUGAAUUUUCGAUGCCCACUAAUGUAAAAAUCUGCAACAUAGCUAUUGCAAUUUCUUUCGACGAGACACACUGUAUUUACCGUCUACUGCUAAACCUGCCCUUCGCUUACUCGAUGUCAUCAUAUCCAAAACUAGCUUUUGCAGUCACAUCUCAUUUCGUGAGUAGUAUAUCAUUUUUCCCGUUUCGAUUAAGAUCCAGUAAAAUUCCAGGUGAUCUGAUGGUGACCAAAAGGACUGUGACGAGCAACAGAAUAGAAAUCCAGUUUCGUACAUUUAAUCAUUUGCGACACCCUGAUUCUUUUGUGAAACUGUUGGAAACUUUGUGUCUGUGUCUUGCACAGGGAAAUGAAUGUCUGGGACAAAUUUGAAAUAGUAAUCUAAUACCGUUGAUAAGAUAUUGCGUAAUUUAAACAGAAAUGGAUUUCUAUUUUACAACUAGGGCCAGGCCUUUUCCGAGUUCUGAGAUCACCUGGUUAGGAAGAUAUUUUAAUUCAGGGGGGCUGAAAUUUGUGGAGAGGACCAUUAAAGACGGGUGGUUAGGGGACAUGCUCCCUGGGAGAUUUU
rnacentral:lncRNA from 1 species